UAAUCUCAUGAUUAACGUUUGAUAGUUGGCGUAAGGUAUCUCUAAUGGAUGGACCUGCGGCGUAUUAGUUAGUUGGUAAGGUAAGGGUUUACCAAGACGAUGAUACCGUAGCCGACUUGAGAGAGUGAUCGGCCACAUUGGGAUUGAGACACGGCCCAAUCUCCUCCGGGAGGCAGCAGUAGGGAACCUUCCUCAAUGGAGGAAAGUCUGAU
rnacentral:rRNA from 1 species